AAUUUCGAAUGCAAUUUAUAUGUAUGUAUGUAUAAGUGUAUAAGCUUUUGAGAGGUAUUUUUCGUUUUGUUUUUUAUUAAUAACAAUUCGGAUGUAAACAAAAGAGAUAUCUGAAAGAGAAAAAGGCAGAAAAUUUAUUUGCAAUUCAAAAAGCCGCAGAGUAGCAAUUAAUGCUGCAACUGAGGCUGCUGCCUGCCUGCCUGCAUGCCGUUGGUGGUGCCACUGGAAGACAUUGGUGAGACGACGACGAUGAUGGUGUUGAUAACUUUAUACUAAAAAGGGCACUGCUGGGAGGCGGCCAUAACCAAGCAGGCAAGCAGGAACGAACACGAUUUAGUGAGCAGCUUAAACGCCCCAGUGGGCUCGGCGCGGCUCCCUUUCUUCCCCCCAUCGAUGCCAAACUAUAUACUAAAAGACAAAUAGGCCAGGCGGCCACAACACCUGGCGGAACUGGCAAGUCAUAAUUUGCACUUUAAUGAAAGCGGCGUCCGAACAGCUUCAACCAAUGCACCAGAAAUCUCAUUUUACAAUCAACCCUAUCAACACCCACCCACCCAGCCGCCUACCAGUGUGUGUUGUCAGUUGCAACAACAUUUUGCCAUGCACUCACAAUUCAACCAUCCAUCCAUCCAUCCACUCCACACGUUCUGCUUGUGGUGGGUGAGGAGAAACAUGCAUCGUCAUCAUUCAGAUUAAACGAGACCAAGAGCUGGCAUCAACUAAGGGCAGACAUGCGCAUUGACUAGACUAACUCACUGCAAGCAGCGGAACAGCAAUAUUAAUAUAUCUGAAUUUUACAAUACAUCCCACAGAUGAUAAGCAUUAAUUAUAAUUGUUAUCUGGCUAACAAUUUGUUGUACUCAGUUAUUCUUUAUAAACAUACACAUAUUUAUAGACAUUUCUGUAUAUAAUAAAUCUACAAAAAAAUAAUAAUCAUUACAAUGAUUGA